rnacentral:sRNA from 1 species
GAAAAACAAAGAGAUCGAGCUGCAGAGGCACUGUUGCGAAAAAAAGCCAAUGAAGCGGAAAUGAAGAGACGUUAUGAGAAGUGUAGAGGAUCAUGGUUUAUAAGAGCAUGCUUAGCAAGAGGCACUAACAUAAGAUCAAAGAGGUCAGAUCCCAGUCUGGAUACGAAAUCAUUCACAGAGAAAAUCUAUCAGCUAUUUAACUUUCUUUAAUGUACCAACUACAAAAGCGGAUCAGACUUAAUGAGUCAAAGAGGCCAAAAGGGGAGUUAAUUUCAGGAACGCCAUUCAGAGUUUCUUUUUCUUUCUUUUCUUAUCCAUUUUUGAACAAAGUUGCACGGAUGCAUACAUGUGUGCAUUCUAAAAAUAAAGUGUUAGUGUUUUCAUGAUAGU